GGGGAUAUGGUAUUAGCGGCAAACAUACUGGCCUGUCACGCCGGAGUCACGGGUUCGAAUCCCGUUAUCCUCGCCA
rnacentral:tRNA from 2 species